UGUUCUAUGGCCGAACUGGUAAAGGCAUUGCCGAUCACAGGCAAGAAUAUCGGUUGCGGGUUCGAGUCCCGCUGGAACGG
rnacentral:tRNA from 1 species